rfam:Chlamydiae bacterium RIFCSPHIGHO2_01_FTLL_44_39 rifcsphigho2_01_scaffold_2946, whole genome shotgun sequence.
GGGAGCGGUGUGAGUCGAGAGGCUCCCGCACCGUUCUGAGAGGGGCCGGAAGUGAGAUUCUUCCGGUCUACUCGCU